UCUCCGUUGGUGAACCAGCGGAGGGAUCAUUACUGAGUUUACAACUCCCAAACCCAUGUGAAUCAUACCUAUCGUUGCUUCGGCGGGAGUGCCCCGGCGCCUCUGUGCCCGGAAUCAGGCGCCCGCCGGAGGCCCCAAACUCUUGUUUUACCUCUGGUAUCAUCUGAGUGGCGUAAGCAAAAUAAAUUAAAACUUUCAACAACGGAUCUCUUGGUUCUG
rnacentral:misc_RNA from 1 species